rnacentral:rRNA from 1 species
CCUACGGGUGGCUGCAGUGAGGAAUAUUGGUCAAUGGGCGGAAGCCUGAACCAGCCAAGUCGCGUGAGGGAUUAAGGCCCUAUGGGUCGUAAACCUCUUUUGUCAGGGAGCAAGGUCGUCCACGUGUGGGCGUAUGGAGAGUACCUGAAGAAAAAGCAUCGGCUAACUCCGUGCCAGCAGCCGCGGUAAUACGGAGGAUGCGAGCGUUAUCCGGAUUUAUUGGGUUUAAAGGGUGCGCAGGCGGAGGUGCAAGUCAGCGGUCAAAUUGCGGGGCUCAACCCCGUACUGCCGUUGAAACUGCAUCCCUUGAGUGCGCGAGAAGUAUGCGGAAUGCGUGGUGUAGCGGUGAAAUGCAUAGAUAUCACGCAGAACUCCGAUUGCGAAGGCAGCAUACCGGCGCGCAACUGACGCUCAUGCACGAAAGCGUGGGUAUCGAACAGGAUUAGAUACCCGGGUAGUC